rnacentral:lncRNA from 1 species
AUGGAAUUGGAAAACCCUUUAGGAUUUGGGUUGUGGGCAGCUACAGUGUGGAGCAGAUCCAAGCAGAUCCAAGGCUGCCGUGGUGACGGAUCCUCUGAUGCUGUCCACGAACUGCUGCUGAGUCCCCGCUGCCCGGUGCCAGCUGUGCCCCUGUCUCACUGUAUUGAUGCUGAAUGUACAAUCUCAAGUCCUGCAGAGCCAGUUUCAGGGAAGGGGAGUUCUGGAAAAAUGGGAUGUGGAGCUCAAAGGAACUCUUGGUGUGAACUGCACGGAUGCCUGGCGUCCGCCGCCUUCCGCAGCGCCCCGAGGGAAACGGCAGCUCCCCAAAUGUCUGCAGAUGACAGGAAACUUCUGAUAAAGGCAGAGGAGAUGAUUAUUCUGCAGGUGAAGAAUGGCAGCUUCUGCCUGUGUGAAGUCUGGGGGCAGAAGGAAGAGGGGAGUAUCCAAACAUAACAGGACCCAGUACAUAGACUCCAGGUGUUCCAGGACAUUGGAGCCCACUCUGGGCACUGUCUUUAGAUGAGAAAGGGAAAUUUCUGAAGCGAGUCUGGAGGGAAUUGAUUGAAGUCUCCUUUUAC